CAGUCGCCGCGGGAAUGCGAAGGGGGCUAGCGUUGUUCGGAUUUACUGGGCGUAAAGGGCGCGUAGGCGGACUGAUAAGUCAGGGGUGAAAUCCCAAGGCUCAACCUUGGAACUGCCUUUGAUACUGUUUGUCUUGAGUUCGAGAGAGGUAAGUGGAACUGCGAGUGUAGAGGUGAAAUUCGUAGAUAUUCGCAAGAACACCAGUGGCGAAGGCGGCUUACUGGCUCGAAACUGACGCUGAGGCGCGAAAGCGUGGGGAGCAAACAGGAUUAGAUACCCGCGUAGUCCCUGUCUCUUAUAC
rnacentral:rRNA from 1 species